AUCCUUUUUUGGUUCAUAAGCGUGAUGAUUGUGUGUUCACACUGUUGCAUGACAUGUGCCACCUUCAAACCUCGUUACACAUCGGCACAUUACCCAUCUGACG